rnacentral:rRNA from 1 species
UACGUAGGGCGCAAGCGUUGUCCGGAAUUAUUGGGCGUAAAGAGCUCGUAGGCGGCGUGUCGCGUCGGCCGUGAAAACCUGCAGCUUAACUGUGGGCUUGCGGUCGAUACGGGCAUCACUGGAGUUCGGCAGGGGAGACUGGAAUUCCUGGUGUAGCGGUGAAAUGCGCAGAUAUCAGGAGGAACACCGGUGGCGAAGGCGGGUCUCUGGGCCGAUACUGACGCUGAGGAGCGAAAGCGUGGGGAGCGAACAGG